GCCUCUAUUGCUGGAAGGUCAAGCAGCUCACUUGUAAUGAGCAGAUCUCAGUUCAAUUCUGAGUGGAGGCACCA
rnacentral:tRNA from 1 species